GAUGUGUCUUGGAACCACAACAACCACAACCACCCUAGGAUCAUGAGGCAGUAUAUGUGGACUUCGGCAAACUGCAAAGCAAUCAGCCCUUCUGAAGAAUUAAUCACGUUAGUUUUUUUAAGGCACUUUUACAGAAACCUUCCCCAGGCAAUCUUGUGUCACUUAAUGCCGCUAUAUCGAUGUUGUAGAGGACUAGUUCUCGAGCAAUGAGAGCUGUCCUUCUCUCAGGUCUUGCAACAGCUUCUCGAUCCAUGAGGGUACGAACAUUCCAUACACCAAUGUGGAUGGCCUUGACGUCUUUCAUGCCUCGUCAAGCCCUUCGCUUUCCACAAAGCGUUGCAGAACCACCUUCUUGACUGUUGGAUCUUAGUGAUCUCUUUCGCCCAGUCUGCCGGAGCUGAUGUCGUACCCGUUCGGGGGUAGUCUGUCCACCUGUCACUCAGCUCUCACCUGUGGCUCCAAGUAGCUGCAGCAUGCGCAGCGGCCACACC